rnacentral:misc_RNA from 1 species
UUUAGAAACCACAACAACAAGGGUGGUUUCAGGACUUAGGCCAGCAAUGUUUUUAGCAACGUCAAUUGGAUCAACAUUUGCAAGACUGACAAAUAUAAAACAAAGAUUACAUUGCAUCAUAGAAAAAUAUGUAAUGGGUUGCAAGAUGCGGUCAUAAGUACAAACAUUUCUGAUGAAUAUUCAUCCACCAUAAGCACCACAUCUCUUUUGAGAGGAUGCCAUGUCACAACUUGUGCACCGUGCACGGUUCAUCAUAUGAAAUACUAAACCUGGAGAAUGAACAAUGUGCAAUAAUGUCUCUGGUAGAAUAAAUCUCGCAUUUACAGGUUCUCCAUAUCCCUCCUCUCAGCAAAAACAGAAAGAAGGAAAAUAAUAAUAUACAUAUUGGUAGCUCUUUUUAGUCUCAUCCCUUGCAAAGUUGAAAUGCAUUAACAAUUAACAUUAUUUCUCAGAAUCCUACAAAAUGUUGAGACAUUAGAAUUUAGAUAACAUUUCCAACUUCUAUGUUUCCUUUAGAAACCAAUGCAAUGGACAUGGAAGUUGGAUUUUACUGGAAAAGCACAAUAUCUUUCCAUUGAUGAAGGCAAGUGGACCUUUGCCAAAAACCUUAAACUCUGUAGCCUUGCUUUGUGUGGGAAAGAGUUCAGAAAACAAACACUAGGAGUAAAACAAAAACAUUAACAAACAAAGAUCUGCACAACAAUAUCACGCCAUUGAUAGAAAUUGCAAAGUUAUAGUGAUAUAUAAGUACUCACAAUCGCAGCUGUCGGCCUUCUGCAUAUUUGCUAGCCUCUGAAUCUGUAAAUUUCCAUCAGUAAAUAAUUAAUGCUUUAGGCAAGCUUUCCCAUAAAACAAAAUCAAAUUAUAUUAGAAAAACAGAAUUGAACCAAAACAAGAAAAAACACUGAGCAGCAACUUUAAUAAAACAAGCAUCAGUGUAC